GUAGGGGGCAAGCGUUAUCCGGAUUUACUGGGUGUAAAGGGAGCGUAGACGGCCAGACAAGUCAGAAGUGAAAACCCGCGGCUCAACUGCGGGAGUGCUUUUGAAACUGUUUGGCUGGAGUGCAGGAGAGGUAAGUGGAAUUCCUAGUGUAGCGGUGAAAUGCGUAGAUAUUAGGAGGAACACCAGUGGCGAAGGCGGCUUACUGGACUGUAACUGACGUUGAGGCUCGAAAGCGUGGGGAGCAA
rnacentral:rRNA from 1 species